CCUACGGGAGGCAGCAGUAGGGAAUUUUCGACAAUGGGCGCAAGCCUGAACGAGCAAUGCCGCGUGAACGAGGAAGGUCUUCGGAUCGUAAAGUUCUGUUGAAGGGGAAAAAGAGCGUAGAGAGGAAAUGAACUCCGAUUGAUAUUACCCUUCGAGGAAGUCACGGCUAACUACGUGCCAGCAGCCGCGGUAAUACGGAGGGUGCGAGCGUUAUCCGGAAUGAGGGGGCGUAAAGGGAGCGUAGGCGGCUUGCUAAGUCUGGAGUGAAAGGUACGGGCUCAACCGGUAUAGGCUCUGGAAACUGGCGGGCUAGAGAGCAGGAGAGGGCGGUAGAACUCCAUGUGUAGCGGUAAAAUGCGUAGAUAUAUGGAAGAACACCAGUGGCGAAGGCGGCCGCCUGGCCUGUUACUGACGCUGAGGCACGAAAGCGUGGGGAGCAAAUAGGAUUAGAUACCCUUGUAGUC
rnacentral:rRNA from 1 species